rnacentral:rRNA from 1 species
CCUACGGGCGGCAGCAGUGGGGAAUAUUGCACAAUGGGCGCAAGCCUGAUGCAGCCAUGCCGCGUGUGUGAAGAAGGCCUUCGGGUUGUAAAGCACUUUCAGCGGGGAGGAAGGCGGUGAGGUUAAUAACCUCAUCGAUUGACGUUACCCGCAGAAGAAGCACCGGCUAACUCCGUGCCAGCAGCCGCGGUAAUACGGAGGGUGCAAGCGUUAAUCGGAAUUACUGGGCGUAAAGCGCACGCAGGCGGUCUGUCAAGUCGGAUGUGAAAUCCCCGGGCUCAACCUGGGAACUGCAUUCGAAACUGGCAGGCUAGAGUCUUGUAGAGGGGGGUAGAAUUCCAGGUGUAGCGGUGAAAUGCGUAGAGAUCUGGAGGAAUACCGGUGGCGAAGGCGCCCCCCUGGACAAAGACUGACGCUCAGGUGCGAAAGCGUGGGGAGCAAACAGGAUUAGAUACCCGGGUAGUC